UAGAGUUGCGACACCUUAAGGGUUUCGCGGGAUGGAAUGAGUGGGGAGAUCAAUUCAAAUUGAAAGCCGAUUGUUUCGACAAAAAUUUGGGUACGAAACAAUUUAGGUACGAAAAAAAAUUUGGGUACGAACAAAUUUGGGUACGAAAAACAUUUUGAUACGAAAAAAAUGGGUUCGAAAAAAAAAAGUUGGGUACGAACAAAUUUGGGUACGAAAAACAUUUCGGUAAGAAAAAAAUGGGUACGAAAAAAAUUGGUUACGAAAAAAAUUUAGGUACGAAAAAAAAUUUGGUUACAAAAACAAAUUAGAGUACGAAAAAAUAUAGGGAACGAAAAAAAUGAAGGUACGAAAACUAUUUUGGUACGAAAACAUUUAACAUUUGUAAAGACAUAAAACAAACUAAAAAGAUUUUAUUUCAUGUUUGGGUGGUGUCCAUUGUAGUAUGUCAGGUUAGUGUUGUUUUGUCAAAGCAUGAAUCAAAUUUGAUGAUAAACAAGAAACAAUCGGAGACGGGUGAUGCUCCCCAAAGGUUUUUUGGUCACAAUAUUGCACUAUAUAUUCAGAUAAAAGGAAACGUCUUGAGGGGCAUAACUCUGGACAAAAUAAUACAAUGGAUGGUUAAGUAACUUAAAAAUUUCAAAGGGCCAUAACUCUCUAAAUAAAUCAUGUAACCCGAACCCACUUAUAACAUGCGCAUCUCCUAGAGGUAGUUAAGAUUCCCAUAAAGCUUUAUUGUAUUCCAGUCAGUAGUUGGGGAGAAAUAGCCCGGACAAGAAUUGCACUACAUAAAUAUGUACAGUUUAUAGAAAAUGUAAAAGGGCCAUUACUCUGUGAAAAAUCAACCGAACAUAACCGGCUGAUAAUAUGCACAUCUCCUGUUGGUAGUGAAGCUUCCCAUGCUGUUUCAGUGAAUUCCCAUAAUAAGUUGCUGAGAAUUAGCUCUGACAAGAAUUGCACUAUAUGUUCAAUGUAAAAUUUCAAAGGGCCAUAACCCUGUGAAAAAUCAUCCGCCGAGAACCGGCUGAUAAUAUGCACAUGUCCUCUUGGUAGUGAAGUUUCCCAUAAAUUUUAUUGAAUGCCAGUCAUUGGUUGCUGAGAAAUAGCCCGGACAAGAAUUGCACUUUAUGUACAGUUAAUGGAAAAUUUCAAAGGGCCAUACAUUGUAACUCUGUGAAAAAUCAUCCGACCAGAACCGGCUGAUAAUAUGCAUGUCUCCUCUUGGUAGUGAAGCUUCCCAUUAUGUUUAAUUGAAUUCCAGUCAUUAGUUGCUGAGAAACAGCCCGGACAAAAAUUGUGCACGGACGGACAGACGAAGCGGCGACUAUAUGCUCCCCCCUUAAAAAAAUUGGGGGGGAGCAUAAUAAAGAAGUUGUGGCAAUUUAAAGGUGGUACGCAAACUUUAAAAUAGAUUUAUCAAUUAUAUGCUUAUUCUUAGUGAAAAAAAGGCCAUAAUUGUUACAAAAUGCUUGAUACAGUUAUCUGCUUGUGUUUAUACAUUGGGGUCAUGUUGGUUAAGAAGCAAAAUACAUGUAUGAAAGCAAUAUGUCAAGGGACAUAGAAAAUAUUUGAGGUGAUAUGCAAACUUUAACAUAGAUUUAUCUAUAAUAUGCAUAUUCUAAGUGAAAAAGGGCCUAAUUCUGUUAAAAUGCUUGAUACAGUUGUCUGCUCAUGUUUAUAGAUUGGGGUUAUGUUGGUAAAGAAGUAUCCAAAAUAUAAAAGCAAUAUGUCAAUGGACAUAGGAAAUAUAUUUGAGGUGGUACGCAAAAAUUCCAAUGCGCGCGCCAACGCCGGGGUGAGUAGGAUAGCUCCACUAUAUAUGUUUCAUAUAUAAUAGUCGAGCUAAAAAGUAAAUAUACUAUAAACAACAAGCUAACCUCAAUCACAACUUUAAUGCAAUGCAGUUAAACAAUAAAGUUACAAUGAUAUGCCAGGGAUUGAAACUAAUUUUUUUUUAUAUUGUGGGCAACCAUCUUUAGUAUUUUGGUUGCCCAGAUAAAGAAUAACCAGCCCAGAAAUACAACAUGUAUCAACAUGUGAAUAUUAUUAUAAUAGAUAAUUAUAUACAUUUGCUGACAAUACACAUGUUCAAUGCAUGAUGUAUUAUUAUGAGCCUGAAUUGAAUCAUGUCCUAUUCCUAAAUAAUGAAUGUUAUUUUACUAGUAUUGAUCCAUGGUGAUCAAUUGUUUUUCAAUUUUUAUUGCACUGUAUUGUUUUAUGCUUUAAAAAAAAGAAGUUUACCAACUUUUGAAAAUGAGUUGCCCAGGCCAAAAUCUACUUGCCCUGGGCUCACGGGAAACCACUUAUUUCCAUCCCUGUAUGCUCUUCAUUUUCUGUUCUUCCAUCCCAUUCUCAAAAUUAAUUUUAAAGCACAAUAUUUUUAAUAACAUUUGUAUGAAUUGCUAACCAUUAUCACCCAAAUAACAAUUUUACAAAGCUGUAAUCCUGUCGUAAAGAUUUAGUUUACUAUUAUCAGUGUUCUCUUAACUUAAAUACCGGCAACCAGCGAUUUUGCCGGUUACAUUUACUCUUGAUGCCGGCUACUUUUCCCAAAUAUAUCAAGUAAAUGUCACAAAUGCUUUUGUUUUACUGCAUAGUUGCCGGCCAUAUAACUGGCUACUCAAAUUUUUCUGGAAAACACUGAAUUAUGCAUGACAAACACACAAUACUUACAUGUAAAUAAACCUUAGAUUCGUUUUUAAAAUAAAUUGACACUUCCAGCUUGUCGUCAGUAAAAUCCAAAGAUUCAAAUAAUUUUCCACGAGAUACGUCAACAAUCAAAUGAAUGAAAAAUAAAAGUAAAGAAAGCCGGAUUUAACAUAAGUUUCAGGUUCAUAAACACAACAAGGUAAAGGUAGUCGGUGAGAUAUAAUAAUAAUACAGUUAGUAAGGCCCAAACCCUGGGUACGGUAAAUAUACUAAAUCAUACCCGGGAAUUUUAACACUAAAUCGGUUGUUGUCGGCUAUUUUGUAAAAAUUAAUUAUGUUUACAUUUAUGUCAAUUUUCUGUUCAAUGGCAUUUAUAUUAUCAAAACUCAUUGUUAAAAUCAAUAAUGUGAUUUAAUUUUAAAUCUUAAAUUGUUUAAAGUCGCGUCAUUGUAUGACGUCGUCAAGUAUAAUAUUUUCCACGACAUCGCAGGUUCACUUUUUACUGUCAUAGAUUUUUUAAAAGAAACAUUAUUUGGUUUGCAAGGUCCGUUAAAUGGGGAACACCAUAUUCGGUAUUUAUAUUAUGUUUUAACAAUUAAUUCAUGCUGUGUAAUAAAUAUUGUAUAAGAUAUUUCGAUAUUGAUUGAAAAUGUUUCAAAUUGUUAUUUAUGAAACCUUUUAUUUUAAUGAGUGUAUGCUAUUAUAUUAUACUUUGAAUAGCAUAUCUGUUGUACUAUAAUCUUAUUACUCAUUUUUUAUUGUUAAUUUCAUUUAUUGUAGAGAAUGGUCAAUGUUAGCAUGUUUAACGACAUUGGAUUUUUGGCGGAUAUACAACUCGGAUACAAUCUAAUAUUUGCGGGUAUGUUUAAGUUUAUUUACCGUACCCGGGGUACAUGUAAGUAAAAUUAAGAGUACCCGGGGUACAUGUACCGGUAAGUAGUACCCGAGCCGAGUAUGAUCAAUCGAGCCUUAGUAAGUGAGUGAUGGUGUAUGGGAUAACAUGCACUGAGGGUGUAUAUUUUUCACGAACAAGUCAAUUGAAGGUGUUAGAGAUGCAUUGAUCCAUAAGAUUAAAAAGGGUAAUUAACCACGGGCUUAUUAAAAUUAAAAUGAUGACAUUACAUUGUACCAGCUGUUUAUUGUUGUAUACUGUAAGCUUGCAAUAUUUUAAAUAUUGUAAACAACUUACCUUGUAUUAAGUUGGCACAUUGUUGUCAGGUGUAGAAACUUUUUAUACUUAUUUCUGUUAAGUUGCACUGGCUGAACCAAAAGAAUUAUGUAGUCGUUUCUAAAUAAUCACGAAACAACCUACUAAUGCUUAUAUGCUUGCCAGUUAC